GUUAAGUGAACUGAUUAUGUAAAUGGGGUUUGGCUUUCCAUUUAGGUACAUGGAAGUGUUAUUAUGCACGACAAUUCUGAUGUUUCCAAAUGUUAACUUUUAUGUCAAGUUAGCAACUUUAGGAUGCUGUUAUUACAUUAUUUUAAACUAAAAGUAAGAAAGGAAAUUGUUUGAGCUUGAUGGGAGUGACUGUACCAGUUGCUUUUAAAUUUUCAAAAUGGUCUAAGCUAAGACUAGGAGUGAAAUUCUGAGUUCCUAGAUUUAGGAUUUUUCACUUUUUGGUUAGAUUAUGAUUUGCUGCCAUUAACAUAUACUUAUUGUGAUGAUCUUAAUCGUAUACAGUUUUCAUUAUAUCUGAGUGAAGGUAUGUUGCAUUAUUGACUUGAUAGAUUACAUGGUCUUAUAUAGUGGACAUACAUUAAUCGUGCUGAUUUUUGACUUGUGACUGGGAAAACAUUCAAAUUUCUGUAAUUGGAGAUUCCUCUAAGCUAUCAAGAUCCCUACAAGAGCUGAUAACAGGAAUUGAGGAGACCACCAACACUAAUUGUGGACUCCAACUUAUUGCUUUUUAAGGUUAGACAAUAGUAGAUAUGCGGUGCAGAUUGAGACUUUUCACCCUCUGGGAACUUGACAAGCUCCUAUAUGGGAAAAUUAAGGAACCGGGUUUAGACAUUUCUAUGGAGGUAAUGGGGAGUGGCUGCGGUUGAGUUACUGCACAGUCAAACGAUACGUUAUUAAAUUCUGUAAUCUUCCAAAACUAACAUUGUUCAAUAGGAGACUGGCCUUCUCCUUGUUCUACUUGUCCUCCUAUGGAGACAUGAGAGACAUAAAAUUAGGAUAUGUGACUUAGCUGGGUGGCUGUAAUACUAAUUUUAUGUACACAAAUUUACAUGGAGGGUGUUCGGUCACUAAGCCAUUGUGGAGCUGUGUUGCAGGUUGGGAAUUAGGGUUCUCCCUGUUUUCGCAUUCUCUAGUGAGAAUUGGUUUCAACCUCAAGUAAG